rnacentral:rRNA from 1 species
UACGGAGGAUCCAAGCGUUAUCCGGAUUCAUUGGGUUUAAAGGGUGCGUAGGCGGAAUGAUAAGUCAGUGGUGAAAUCUCGGAGCUUAACUCCGAAACUGCCAUUGAUACUGUCAAUCUUGAGUACAUUUGAUGUGGGCGGAAUGUGUCAUGUAGCGGUGAAAUGCUUAGAUAUGACACAGAACACCGAUUGCGAAGGCAGCUCACAAAACUGUAACUGACGCUAGGCACGAAAGCGUGGGUAUCAAACAGG